GAUGAACGCUGGCGGCGUGCCUAAUACAUGCAAGUCGAGCGAAAAGACGAUAAGCUUGCUCCUCUGACGUUAGCGGCGGACGGGUGAGUAACACAUGGAUAACCUACCUAUAAGACUGGGACAACUUCGGGAAACCGGAGCUAAUACCGGAUAAUACAUUGAACCGCAUGGAUCAAGAGUGAAAGACGGUUUUGCUGUCACAAAUAGAUGGUUCCGCGCCGCAUUAGCUAGUUGGUAAGGUAACGGCUCACCAAGGCAACGAUGCGUAGCCGACCUGAGAGGAUGAUCAGCCACACUGGAACUGAGACACGGUCCAGACUCCUACGGGAGGCAGCAGUAGGGAAUCUUCCGCAAUGGGCGAAAGCCUGACGCAGCAACGCCGCGUGGGUGAAGAAGGUCUUCGGAUCGUAAAGCUCUGUUAUUAGGGAAGAACAAAUGCGUAUUUAACUAUGCACGUCUUGACGGUACCUAAUCAGAAAGCCACGGCUAACUACGUG
rnacentral:rRNA from 1 species